rnacentral:rRNA from 1 species
GACGAACGCUGGCGGCGUGCUUAACACAUGCAAGUCGAGCGGUAAGGCCCUUUCGGGGGUACACGAGCGGCGAACGGGUGAGUAACACGUGGGUGACCUGCCCUCAGCUCUGGGAUAAGCCUGGGAAACCGGGUCUAAUACUGGAUAUGACUCCAUGACGCAUGUUGUGGGGUGGAAAGCCUUGUGCGGCUGAGGAUGGGCCCGCGGCCUAUCAGCUUGUUGGUGGGGUGANGGCCUACCAAGGCGACGACGGUAGCCGGCCUGAGAGGGCGACCGGCCACACUGGGACUGAGACACGGCCCAGACUCCUACGGGAGGCAGCAGUGGGGAAUCUUGCGCAAUGGGCGAAAGCCUGACGCAGCGACGCCGCGUGAGGGAUGACGGCCUCGGUGUAAC